GCCGGGUGUGGUGGCUCACGCCUGUAAUCCCAGCUCUUUGGGAGGCUGAGGCGGGCGGAUCGCUUGAGCUCAGGAGUUUGAGACCAGCCUGGGCAACAUGGUGAAACCCCGUCUCUA
rfam:Nomascus leucogenys chromosome 8, whole genome shotgun sequence.